UUAAAGUUUGUCGCCAACCGCCAUAUACAGUCCACAGAAGAAGAAGAAGAAGAAGAAGAAGCAGAGAUCAGUAGAAACUAACUAGGUUUCCUCUUUUAUCUGUGAAUUCAUUGUUGGAGUAGAGAACAUACGAUUUUGUGUUGAUUCAAAAUGGGUCAAAAUUCUACAAAGAUCCAGAAAAAAAGGACCUUGUGGAUUUCAGGCACACCUGUUACCUGAGAGAUGUCGGACAAAGAAGCCAUUGAAGCUUUAUCUGCCGUUGAAGAUUGCUUUGAACGGGUAACUGGGCCCUGGGGAUUCAAAGAGAUGAAUGAGAACAUGGACCGACCUCUAAACUCAUCUGCUGAUACGCUGCUCAACAAUGCACAAACAGACCUCAACGGUGGAAAGACAAAGUGGCGAGGGGAGGCAGGAUUGUAUAAGGGUGAAUAUGAGCGCAGCGUGUUAAGGGCGAAGGCUGAGUUGCCCAACAUCAAAGCUGGUACUGGGGAAUCGAUGGAAAAAGGAUAUAGUGGGAACAUUGACUACAAAUUAGGAAAAGGAUAUAGUGGGAACAUUGACUACGCAUUAGGAAAAGGAUAUAGUGGGAACAUUGACUACGCAUUAGGAAAAGGAUAUAGUGGGAACAUUGACUACGCAUUAGGAAAAGCUGAACUAGACAUGGGCGUGUGGAAGGUGGAGGGCAGCUUUCCCAGUGCCAGUGGUGCUUUUCAGGCAACAACCAUGGAGCAAAAGUAAUGCUCAAGGCUGAGGUCAUAAGUGCCUCUGCAUCCUUUGGUCCGGUGAAGUGGACAGUGCGUCAGGCAGUUGAUACAGGCUUUGAAGUAGGCAAGGAUGGGGUCACUGUACAAGUUCUGGGUACAGGUGUCUCUGUCAAGGAUGGAAAUGUGGGUCUUUCUCUCUUUGGCAGCAAGUUGGAGUUCAACCUCUGGUGAAACACCCCCCCCCCCCCCCCCCCAGAGCUCAGAGGUCCACUGCUUUGGAGAUGUAUUCAUUCCACCUGUUUAGUUCUCCUACAGCCUACAGACAAGGCUUCAGGGACAUAUAUGUGCUUGGUUACUUUUACACUCCUAAUGAAAACAGCUUCAUGUAUUGUACUUAAUAAGUGGACUGUAUUUACAAUAUAUACAAUACAUUCUUAUCAACUAUAUUUGUGAUUGUUCUUUUUUAUACACACACACACACACACACACACACACACACACACACACACACACACACACACACACACACACACACACACACACACACACACACACACACACACACACACACACACACACACACACACACACACACACACACACAUACACACACACACACACACACCUC
rnacentral:lncRNA from 1 species